CCCAGGCUAGAUUUGAACUCCUGGCCUGAAGUAAUCCUCCCACCUUGGCCUCCCAAAGUUCUGGGACUACAGGCUGGAGUGCAAUGGUGCGAUUUGGCUCACUGUGGCCUCUGCCUCCCGGGUUCAAGCGAUUCUCCUGCCUCAGCCUCCCAUACCAGUUCAACUUUUUCAGAUUCCACGUGCACACAGCUGGGGGACAUCUCCCAGACUCCCCUGCAGCCAGCUGUGGCUAUGUCAUUGAGGGCCAGCCAGUGAAGCGUGG
rnacentral:lncRNA from 10 species